UUUCCUAAUAUUUUGUUGAGAAUUUUUGCAUCUAUGUUCAUCCGGGAUAUUGGCCUGUAGUUCUCCUUUAUAGGGGUAUCUUUAUCUGGUUCUGGUAUCGGGGUAAUAUUGGCCUCAUAGAAGGAAUCUGGAAGUUUGCCUUCCUUUUCUAUUUUUUGGAAUAGUUUGAGAAGAAUAUGCAUUAAAUCUCCUUU